GGGGAGAAUGCCAAUGAUGCAGCAUGAAUGAACAUCAUUGCCAGAUACCAUUGUACAAAGUCAUUGUAUAGCAUGGUAUAUAUGUGAGGUGAGUUCAGAAUUGAUGUGAUUUCCAUCUCUGUAGGCACAGUAGUAAGUGAUCUUCACAUUUACAUGACCUUUCUAUUACUUCACACAGCACUGGGCUAAGUAAUUUAGCUUCUCAACUUCCUCACAUCUUGCUGUGAUUAAGUGGGUAGCAAGUGCAUUGAUUUGUAUGACUGAGAGCCUACUGUCUCAGUAGACAAAUAGGAGGGAACAGGGUGGAGAGAUGAGGAGAUGCUUUAAUGCAUGGUAAAUAUUCAUCACAGUAAGUCCUCAUGACUUCAGGGAUAAAUCUGUAGCAGAGUAUGUAGAGCAAGUUGUUCUCAUAGCUGAGCACUAGAUUCCUCAGUAUGUAAUGAAUUAUCAACUCAACCACAAACACAUUCCCGACAUACCCCAGCAUAUAAUUGCAAAGUAAAUAUGAAAUCAGAAACUACUAGUUAUAUGGCUCUUUAGAGGGAACUACCUGAAUGUAGAUAUGGGAAAGCCCAUCUUUAAUCUUAUCAGUAGUCAUCAGAAUGUCAGUGGAAUCAGGCAAGCAGUGUUGUGUGUCAGCAUUUGUAGGAUUUUAACCAUAACUUGACCAAUUGUGACUUGUGUGUAUGUUGCCUGCCAUUUUUGCUGUGCCACAGGAAGCAAAAUGUCUGAGCUUUUAGUUGUUCUAUAGGCAGGCAUUGCACAAUUCAUGGUGUUAACUGAGCCAUACCCUGCUUUCAUUCUUGCCUGCAUUCCCAUAUUUGCCUGUGCAGAUAGCCUUACCGUCUCCAUCUUGAUUAUCCCACAGGUGGAUUGUACCCACUAGCAAACAAUUUCACUGGCUACUGUUGACCUAAUAGUCUGAUCUAUUUGGUUCUGGUUCUAGUUAAGGAUUGGGUAAAUGUAUGGAGACAAGUAGAAAUUAAGUAAUGCAUACAUGUUUAUUCAAUCUCUUUUUGCAGAUAACAGAUGUUAUCACUUCUGUAUGUCAUAUCCAUACAUUUCCCUGUUUCACCCUGAAAGGUUUUUGCAAGCCUGGGACAUGAUCAUUUUUCAAUUGUAGUUUCUACCCACAGUUGAAUCGAAAAAUUAUAUCUAGUCAUAUUUAUUUGUUGUCAUAGGGAGACGUGGGGGCAAAAGGAAAAGGAAAAUCAUGGUUUUUCAUUUGCCGUUGUUCUCAAAAGUCUGGUUUCUGCGCUUUAUUGAGCAUAGGAGAAAAUGAAAAAUUAAAUCAAAGCAAUAGAAAAGGAAGACAGUUUUCUGAUUUGCUCAAUAAAUGUGCUAUUCCGGAUAAGUGGAAAUCUGGAUAUUUUGUUAGUAUGGACAGGGAUGCUCUGGUAACUUCUUGGUCAGAUUACUGCAAAACUUUAUAUGUUGGGCUGCUUCUUAAGAUGGUUCAGAAACUUCAGCUGGUACAGAAUUUAUCAGCCAGGUUGCUCACCGGGGCAAGACAGUUUAAGCGUAAAAUGUCAAUCCUGGCCUGACUGCACUGGCUGCCAAUUAGUUUCUAGCCCCAGUUCAAAGUGACCCAGUAUGACUCAACCUAGACCCUGUGAUCAUCAUCUGAGGCACUUCUUCAUGUACCUCCUCUGUCGGAGGUCCAGAGGGUAGAAACACGAGAACAGGCCUUUUCUGUAGUAGAUCCCUGUUUAUGGAAUGCUCUCACCAGGGGAGCCAGUGUGGUGUAGUGGUUAAGAGCGGUAGACUCGUAAUCUGGUGAACCGGGUUUGCGUCCCCACUCCUCCAAAUGCAGCUGCUGGGUGACCUUGGGCUAGUCACACUUCUCUGAAGUCUCUCAGCCUCACUCACCUCACAGAGUGUUUGUUGUGGGGGAAGAAGGGAAAGGAGAUUGUUAACCGCUUUGAGACUCCUUAGGGUAGUGAUAAAGCAGGAUAUCAAAUCCAAACUCUUCUUCUUCUUCUCUUUUUUCCCUGGGGCCUUUGUUACAUAUCAUUAGGCACCAGGCAAAACAUUUCUCUCAUUCCAGCCUUUUGCUAAUUAAACAAUCUAUGGGCUUUUAAAUUGUGUGUGUGAGAGAACUGGGGUGGGUAUUGUAUGUUAUUAUGGUAUGUAAUUAUUAAUGGGGUUUUUUCUGUUGUAAACUGCCCUGUGAUCUUCAGUUGAAGGGUGGUAUAAAAAUUUGAAAGAAAAUAAAUAAUUAAAUUAAAUUAAAUUAAAUUAGACUCCAGAUAUAUUUAGGAAGAAUUAAUUCCUUUUUAAAGCACAUUUUUAACCAUGGAAUGACCUUAACAUGCAUAGAGAGGACACCAUUUAUUAUACAGCUAGCCAAGAUUCAUUCAUCAGUCAACUGGACCCUAAAAUUUUAGAUGGUAGACUUAGGAAUUAAGAUGAGAGGCAGCAGCUAGAGAUAUGGGAUUAAUUUAUACUGUUUGCAUUUUAAUGUAAACCGGAUUAACUAAAUCUUCCUGAUCUAACAUGUGAACCAAAAUGUACCUAUCCUUUAAUUUUUGCACUUAUUCACAUUUUAUGAUGCCGUUCUCCAAACAUAGUAUGGGUACAAACACACACACACACAUAUGGAAAUGUGCACAUGGAAUAAUAUAUUUUCAAAAAUAAUGUACAAGUUUUCUGUGGACUCUUUUUUCUCUUUUUUAAAGUUCAGAAACUAAUACUGAAACGGGGUAAACUGAAUUUAAGGUAAGAAAAAUGGGAAACUGCCAGAAACAAAAACUGUCAGAUUUGUUCAUUUCUUGGAACAUAACACCACUUUGACUCAGAAUCCAAAAGAGUGAAACUUGGUGCGGCCGAAGUAUAUACUACACAGAAGUAAAGUGGGGAUCCUUCAAAAAUCACAGGCGGAGGAAGCCUGUGACCAUGGGACUCGGCGGGCACCUUUUGCGCCCCCCCAAUCCGUAAAGGAACCCAACUACAGGCUCCGGAGCGAAGAGGGGCUAGUGGCGCAGUGCUGAGAGUCAACUGCUUCUUCCGUGGAGCGAAGCCGCACAGCCGUUGCCGGAGAGCGCUACCUUUUUCCUGGGACAAUUUGGCUACAAAAACAACUACCCGUGAGCAGAUCAAAUUUGGACAACUGGACUUUAAACAACGAUCUGUGAGUAGAAGGGAAAAUUGGAUUAGGAAAUUCUCCUUAAUUUGGCACUGAAGCGGGAAGGUCUAAACAGGAAGUCAGCCUUCUGUUUCUUGUAGAUAGAUUAAAGCAAAGACAUGGCAAACUAGAGUUCAGAAAAUCGUUUGCAAAGGAUCAAGUUUCACCAUUUAAAACUACUGAACCCCCUUCGGAAGCAGGAGAAGAGGGGGGAUUUUUUCCGGAUGGUUUAAACUUGCAGGAGAGAAUGUAAAGAAAAGUAAUUUUCCACCGUCUUGAACCUGGGAGCGGGAUGUCAGGACAGACAUUUUUGGGAAGUUCAUUGACUAUAGUUAAAUGUUUUUGACAGAUAGUUAAAAGAAGAGAAACAUAGUGAUUCCAUUGUUCUCUUUCGCAUUUUAAAGGAACAAAUACUGACAAAAUAUCUGAAAAAGGAAACUUUGUCGUUAGAUCUGUUGUUAAAAAAAAGAAAAGAAAAGAGAUUGAUACAAAUAGAAGUUAUUCCCCUAGAGGGAGCUUGUGAAACUGUUAUUAAACUUGAACUGGGGAGCUUCGCAGCUGCAAACAGAUUAAGAUCGUGGGAACAGACUUCUGACCUUGCAUAACAAUGUACUCAGAGGCUCUGGUGCGUGCUUUCUGUAAGACAAGUGCUUUAUUGCAACAGUUACAUGAGAAGACGGAUUUGAUGACUGUGGCGAUUAGAAAUUUUGGACAGGUAGUGGGUAUCUAUAUAGAACCCACCCAGGAAUCAACUCAGGAGUGUGCUCUGACAGAUCAGAUGAGGGAGGAGAUUGUUGUUGGACCUCGGGUGGCAGAGAUGGAGGUAGCUGUGGCCCAGCAGGAACAUGAGUUGUUGGAUUUGACAAAUGAACUUGGAAAAAGCCAGAUUUGGAGAGAUAGAGUUUUGUUGGGCUUGGAGAUGGGGGGCUGGAUAGACCCCCCUAUGCAGGGAUGUCUUGACUUUUCAAGUCUGGCAAUGGGCCGUGAGGAGUUUCGGGUUGUCAGGGUCCUCAACUUUGGAGGGACUUUGAAACAUGCUUUUAAAUACCAUAUGGAGUUCAGUGUGGAUUAUGGAAAAUGGGCUGAUAUGUCAAGAAGGGACAAAAAUACUGUCAUGUUGGAGUUUCCACGAGUGAAAGGACCAGGAGACAAAGUAAAGUACAGGUAUAAAUAUGAAGAAGAUCUGCAAAAGGGACAUGGAAGAGACUUAAGGGCCUCGGAUAUAAGGUUACCGGGUUAAUGAACUAGAUGGAUGGGACAGAAAGGACUGACAAAACCCGGGACCAGGAGGAAGAGACGUUGGAUGAAGAUUGGAAGAAAGUUUUAAAAAAAUUUUUUAUUUAGGAUUGUUUUGUAAAAUUAAUGAGUAUUAGAAAAAUGUUGGAACGAAACUAUUUUGCUUUAGCAGAAAUGUUAAAAAGAACUAUGCAAGAAUAUGUUAUGGUUAUGAGAAAUUGGUAUAAAUAAGAUUUAAGUUUUAAGUUCUAGGGUCUUUUAUAGUAAGAUAAGGUUAAAAUAGAUUAAGGUAAUUUAAUGACAGAAUAUUAUGAAAAAUGGGAAGGAUUUGCUGUUAUAAUUAAUAACUGGACUACAAACAUGGGAGGUGUGAGGAGGUCGAUGAAAUAAGGCAAUGACAGUUAAGGAUUUGGGAAUAUUGGAUCUGUUUUUAAAUGUUUGUGGUUUACUUUUGUUUUUUGGAUUUUGAUGUGUUGUGUCUUUGUUUCUUUUAUUUUUACUGAUUUGUAUUGUUUGACUGCUGUUUACUUUUCCCUUGUUUUUUUUCUUUUCUGUCUCUUUGUUUUUUCUGUAACUUUAAAAUGCUUAAUAAAUAUCAUUUAAAUAUAUAUAUAUAUAUAUAUACUACACAGAAGUAAGCCCAAUUGACUUCACAUUAUUUUGCAUCAAAUUGUUUAUGUUAGUCAUAGCUUUUAGGAGCAUUCUCUAUUAUCCACAAUAUAGUUUGCUUGCUGGUAGUUGUUAGAUACAUACGUUUUCCAGAAUCCGAACCAUCUAAAAUAAAUAAAAAAAAAAGAAAUGAUUCCAUUUCGCCCCCCUGAAAUAUUUGAUUUGUGUUCUGAUUAUACGGAUCUCUGUACUGCCAAGUCUGAUAUAAAUGGAAGUGAUUUCUCUUUUUGGCUCUGCCCCUGUUGGACAGCUUAUGCUCUUGUUACUUUUUGUCCAUCUGUGCUAACAAGAGGGUAUUUCAUGAUCAUAAUGCUGCUGAGAUAUAUUGCGAAUGUUCCCUUGAACCAAGUGUUUUCAUUUCACAAUCUAGCCUGAGACCUUUCUGAUUUUCUAAUUGCACUUUUGUGAAACCAAAAUAGCUUCUUAAGAUCAAGAAAAAGCAUAUCUUAUUUAUGAUUUUGCACAUGUAGUAUGAUAUUUUAAAGUGGUCUAACUUAAGCUUGAGAAUCAUAGGUGGAACUUGGGUGUCUGAUCUAGUCCGUGGCAGGUGCAGAACUCACACACAGAUAAAGGAAUUGUCAUGGGAAAAUAUUUCUCCUAUAGUAGACAGCAGGGCACUAGUGGGCUUUCAAGUGGACCUUGGUAACAGAAUAAUAAUAAUAAUAAUAAUAAUAAUAAUAAUAAACCAUGUUGUGAGUAAAGAUGACUAAUAGACAGAAAGAGGUUUUCUUUUAGCGGGUUGAAGAAUUCGUUGCUUAUGGAUAAAGUACCAGAGGAAGUGCUUAAGGACAUUGGGAAGAGGGAUAAAAGGUUAAUAUUUUGAAAAUACAACUGUGAACUGAAAAUAGAAAGGAAUGGAAUCAGAGAUGGGAGCAGCUGUAGGAGGAAGUGGAGGAGUCAUAGAAUUUUAGACUUCGAAGGGACCACCAGGGUCAUCUUAUCCAACCCCCUGCAAUGCAGGGAUCUUUUCCCCAACAUGGGGCUCAAAUCCACAACUAUGAGACUCAGUGUCUCAUGUUCUACUGACUGAGCUAUCCAGCAGCUAGUAAAAGGAGGAAUGAAAGAAAGUGGCCAUUUGGAAGGAUUAGGUAGAAGUUAAGGAUGAUAGGGAAAAAAUGGAGAAGAAAAUACAGGAGAGGAGCAAAACUCCUGCCUCCAAAUUGAAAUCUUUAAUAUUUUCAUAGCUUAUAGAUGAACCUCACCUUACAUGUGUAAGGUGACAUCUAGAAUAUUCUCUCCUCCCCACAAGCUAAAUCAGAAAUCACAAAAUGGAGGCAUGCGCAUGUAGGGAUUAAUUGGGAUACCACCUGAGGACAUUAAGAUAAAUUUGGAUUUAAUUAGAGUAAUUAGCAAAUAAGUAAAUUGAAAGUUUUGGGCUGUAUAUUGGAAAACGUGGUAGUCAGAGAUCUGGUCUUGUUCUAAAUUGGCAGCUCUUAAGCAUUUUUCAUGUCUAUAUUAUUAUUAUUAUUAUUAUUAUUAUUAUUAUUAAUAUAAUUUUUUAUUUAUACCCCGCCCUUCCCGUUUUAAAACCGGGCUCAGGGAGGCUAACAGCAAAUAUAAAACAUUGAUUAAAAUGUGACUUAAAAACAGCAUAAACAGCAUAAAAUACAACAUAAAAUGCAGCAUCAAUAUCAAUAAAAUUCAAAAAUUCAGGGGUCAUGGGGGGGCAGCACAGUUCAUGGAAAAUAAAAGGGUCGGACCUUAACAGAACUCACUUCUAAAUAAUAUAGCUAAGAAGAAAGAGUAUGAGGUUGGGAAAAGAUGGGAAAAUACUGAAUGACACCGCAUUGCCUGUAAAUGUUCACAACCACCAAGUUCCUGUGAAUCACGCUAAAAUGGUUUUACAAGGUUAUUAAAGCUGUAUUUUACUAUUUGCACUUCAAGUUCCAGCUUCAAAUAAACUAAAAAUGAACUAUAAUUUGUCAAUGGAAACAGGAAAUAUAACUGUUUACACAGAGAAUUAACACGCAUGGGAAGUUCAGCUUGUAUUUCAGUUGAAUAUUCAGGUGUGUUCUUAUUACAGGCAUAUGACUUCAUUCAUACCUUGAAGAUAGUUUGUUUAGUGCACUGAAAAUGUACAAUAGAGGGAUCUAGGUAUCAAAACAGCUAUAUCACACUUCAUUUGCAAAUAGUAUAAAGAGAAAUGUUUUUGUUCAUUUUUUUACUGAUACCACUUAGGACUCACAGUUACUUCUCAUGUACAUUAUUCAAUAGCUUGCGGUUAAAACCAGGCAUAAGCAGAGCAGAUUUUGUAUACAGUUCAGAGUAUGUAUACAAAGAACUGUUACCCCCUUGUAACAAGUUAUUGCCAUUGUGCAACACCUUACACUGCCAGGGGAAGCAUGUUUUGCUUUCACUUGCUUCAUAGUGCCUAAAAUAAUUUCACACACUUAUUUCUGCCCAUGAAGUCUGAUUUUAGCUUUCUACACUAAAAAGGUUGGAAGUGAGACCAAUAGACUCAUUAAUAUGAGAAUGUUCAGCAUCAUGAGUCAUUCAUUCUGAGCACUGAGAUUUGCUUGGGAUUAUGAGACUGUGAUAGGGAGAUUUGCUUGGGAGUUAUGAUAUUUGUAAAAAUAAAAAUUCAAAUCCUUUGUCUUUUUAUUUUCCAGAUUACCUUUGGACUGUUCUCCAGCGGACUAAAACAUUCCUACUACCUGGGUUUAGGUUGCUAGGUAGUACACACUGGGGCAGGCUAUUGUCCCAUAUGAAAUCAGUUAAACCGUUGAGUAGCAGCAGUUGGAACAACCUUACCACCUCCAGCAAUAACAACAUCAUUUAGGGCUCACUAUUCUUCACCCCACCCCAAGAACAUUCAUAAUUCACUACUGCCUGUGUUGAUG